rnacentral:rRNA from 1 species
UACGGGGGGGGCAAGCGUUGUUCGGAAUUACUGGGCGUAAAGGGCUCGUAGGUGGCCAACUAAGUCAGACGUGAAAUCCCUCGGCUUAACCGGGGAACUGCGUCUGACACUGGAUGGCUUGAGUGUGGGAGAGGGAUGCGGAAUUUCAGGUGUAGCGGUGAAAUGCGUAGAUAUCUGGAGGAACACCGGUGGCGAAGGCGGCAUCCUGGACCGACACUGACGCUGAGGCGCGAAAGCUAGGGUAGCAAACGGG